rnacentral:rRNA from 1 species
GUGAAGGCUAUACUUAGGCUUAACACAUGCGAGUGCUUGCAUUUUUGCAAGUGCAAACGGGUGAGGAAAUACCACAAGAUCACUGCAUAAUAGGAUACCUGAAAAAUCUUAAAUGUUUUCAAUGUCUUCAACCUAUGAGAUGUACUUGUGGAAGAUUAGGUUGUUGGUGUGAUAGUGCGCACCAUGCCUACGAUCUUUAGCUGGUCUGAGAGGAUGAUCAGCCACACUGGGACUGAGACAAGGCCCAGGCUUCUUUUGAAGCCAGCAGUGAGGAAUAUUGGACAAUGCACAAGAUUGCGAUCCAGCCAUAAGUAGGGAAGGAUUGAAGACUCCUUGAGGUUGUAAACUUCUACAGCAUGCAUCAAAAUGACAUAUGCAUGUGGAUUAGCUCCGGCCAACUUCGU